GGUUGUGGCUUAGUGGUAGAGCGCUUGCCUAACACAUGUGAGGCCCUGGGUUCAGUUCUCAGCACCA
rnacentral:tRNA from 1 species